AUUCCAGCACAUUCUCCCUCACAACUUCACUCACACAAAUACAGUGACUUGUUCAGUGGCCUCAAGCCUAAAAAAACAAAUUUAAUCUCCUUAAAGGGCUCAAGAGUCAAGUUAGUUAUGAUACAUGCAACAUCCAGCUGGAUUUAAAUAUAAAGCUUGUGGACAUACAGUUCAUAUAUUUUUGUCGCAAUUAUAAAUAAUGAACCAGAUGCAGAAACUUUAAUGAGCUCAUGUCCAAAUGAAAUCCAAAAAUCCAGCAUCCAAAAAGCAAGUAACAGAAGACAGGCAAAGGAAGGUCCAAGGAAAAAAAACUACAGAUCUGAUACCACCAGAAACCACAAGGAACAGUCAGAAACACAGGAGACACUCAAAGACCCGGAGAGUGAAAGGAGCAACGUAACUUCAGUGUGGUGACAUAACUUACAACAUGUUACCGUCCAGGCUCAGACUUUUCUCACUCUUUUCCCCAUUACAUUAGAGGGGCGCUUCAGAAAAGUGAUACUCGGGUAGAAAUACAGCGUUCAACUAAGGACUGAGAACAGGCUGCACAUUCAUACGCUGACGACAGAGGCCUCCGUGGAGAGUACGAUACAGUGUUCUCUAACACAGAGCGCCUCACGGUAUUUCUACACUCAGGUAUUCACACAUUCACUCGGAAACCAAACGGAGAGCCGCUGGGUUCAGUAUCUUGCACAACAACUCAUCCCAUCUGGACUGGGAAUACUUCAGGAUUCCCCAAACGGCAGUGAAGGACGUGAAGACAUCGGUGGUACGUGGAGCUCGCUGCACAACACUGUGCAUCAGCACAGCAGCCUGGUCUCCAGAUCUGAAGGUGCAGAUUGUGAUCUUGCGUCCCUUCUGCAGUGUCGCAUGGGCAGCGCAGCGCGUCUGAUCCGAGAUAAAAGACUCUGAAAGGUUGCUUCCCCCGAAUGACGGAGAGAGUGAUGAGAGCGGAAGAUGGAGAGGGCAGAAAGAAAAGAGGAGAUGUCAGGAUGCUGUCCUUUCUCUUUAUUGUUUCAUAACUAAACUUUGAUAUCUUCUGGCAUCUAUUCAGACGUGUCUCUGAAGGUGUUUGAUAUUCUUUUCCCCAGUACAGUAUAUUUUGCAAAAUUG